GCUACGGACUUAAAAUCCGUUGGCUUUAAUAGACCUUGAGGGUUCAAGUCCCUCUACCCCCA
rnacentral:tRNA from 4 species